rnacentral:piRNA from 1 species
UUACAUUGACACAUGCUGUUAGGAGCC